UACGGGGGGGGCAAGCGUUGUUCGGAAUUACUGGGCGUAAAGGGCUCGUAGGCGGCCAACUAAGUCGGACGUGAAAUCCCCAGGCUCAACCUGGGAACUGCGUCCGAUACUGGAUGGCUUGAAUCCGGGAGAGGGAUGCAGAAUUCCAGGUGUAGCGGUGAAAUGCGUAGAUAUUUGGAGGAAUACCGGUGGCGAAGGCGGCAUCCUGGACCGGCAUUGACGCUGAGGAGCGAAAGCCAGGGGAGCAAACGGG
rnacentral:rRNA from 1 species